rnacentral:rRNA from 1 species
GAUCUGCUCUGGGUAAGUCGGGGCCUAAGGAGAGGCAGAGAUGCGUAUCCGAUGGACAGCAGGUUUAAGAUUCCUGCACCCCUUGUUAUGAGAACUGCGGGGACACGGGAAGGGAAGCAGAGCCGGGAAUGGAAAGCCCGGUGCAAGCGAAGUAGUCGCAGGGUUGGAAAAUCCGCCCUGCAUAAACGAAGGCGUGAUGCGGAGCGAAAUGAAGUAGUGAAGCUGCGGCCCCGUCCUGUCGAGAAAAGCCGCUAUCGUGUAGCAAGGGCCCGUACCGUAAACCGACACAGGUGGAUGAGGAGAGGAUCCUAAGGCCGGCGGGAGAAGUGUUGUUAAGGAACUCGGCAAAAUGACUCCGUAACUUCGGGAGAAGGAGUGCUGCGCAAGCAGCCGCAGAGAAAUGGCCCAAGCAACUGUUUAGCAAAAACACAGGUCUAUGCGAAACCGGAAGGUGAGGUAUAUGGGCUGACGCCUGCCCGGUGCUGGAAGGUUAAGGGGAGAGCUUAGCAUAAGCGAAGGUUUGAACUUAAGCCCCAGUAAACGGCGGCCGUAACGAUAACGGUCCUAAGGUAGCGAAAUUCCUUGUCGGGUAAGUUCCGACCCGCACGAAAGGCGUAAUGAUUUGGGCACUGUCUCAACAACACACCCGGUGAAAUUGAAAUACCAGUGAAGAUGCUGGUUACCCGCGCCAGGACGGAAAGACCCCAUGGAGCUUUACUCCAGCCUGAUACUGGGAUUCGGUAUUGCAUGUACAGGAUAGGUGGGAGGCUAAGAACUUAUGGCGCCAGCCGUAAGGGAGCCGAUGUUGGGAUACCACCCCUGCAGUACUGGGUUUCUAACCUGCGCCCGUGACCCGGGCGGGGGACAAUGUCAGGCGGGGAGUUUGACUGGGGCGGUCGCCUCCGAAAGGGUAUCGGAGGCGCUCAAAGGUCUCCUCAGGAUGGUUGGAAACCAUCCAGAGAGUGCAAAGGCAGAAGGAGGCUUGACUGCGACACCGACGGGUGGAGCAGGUACGAAAGUAGGACUUAGUGAUCCGGUGGCAUAAAGUGGGAUUGCCAUCGCUCAACGGAUAAAAGCUACCCUGGGAUAACAUGCUUAUCACUCCCAAGAGUUCACAUCGACGGAGUGGUUUGGCACCUCGAUGUCGGCUCAUCGCAUCCUGGAGCUGGAGCAGGUUCCAAGGGUUGGGCUGUUCGCCCAUUAAAGCGGUACGCGAGCUGGGUUCAGAACGUCGUGAGACAGUUCGGUCCCUAUCCGGCGCGGGCGCAGGAUAUCUGAGAGGAGCUGUCCUUAGUACGAGAGGACCGGGAUGGACCGUCCGCUGGUGGACCGGUUGUCAUGCCAAUGGCACGGCCGGGUAGCCAAGACGGGAAGGGAUAAACGCUGAAGGCAUCUAAGCGUGAAGCCCCCCUCAAGAUGAGAUAUCCAUACUCGAAAGAGUGAGAGACCCCUUAGAGACGAUGAGGUAGAUAGGGCAGAGAUGGAAGCACAGCGAUGUGUGGAGUUGACUGUUACUAAUCGGUCGAAAGCCC